rnacentral:rRNA from 1 species
UCCAGAGGGGGCAAGCGUUAUUCGGAAUUAUUGGGCGUAAAGGGCGCGUAGGCGGCCUGGCAAGUGGAAGGUGAAAUCCCUCGGCUUAACCGAGGAACUGCCCUCCAAACUGCUUGGCUUGAGUCCGGGAGAGGUGAGUGGAAUUCCCAGUGUAGCGGUGAAAUGCGUAGAUAUUGGGAGGAACACCAGUGGCGAAGGCGGCUCACUGGACCGGAACUGACGCUGAGGCGCGAAAGCGUGGGGAGCAAACGGG